rnacentral:lncRNA from 1 species
UGUUAUCUCUAUCAAGAUGAUUCUAAUUCAUCAGAUAUUAUUUAUUCUAGUAUCUGGAACACGAAAUAGAUAGAGUGGAUCAAAAAAAAUGGAACUAUGAUUCAUACUCACUAUUAAGACCUCGCAACCAGACUGAAAAAUUCAAGUAGUUCUUAAAUAAAAAUAAAAAAGAAAUUUUCUUCCUUCCAAUUUUGUUUGCCCAAAAGACAACUUUUUUUCUCUUGAUUUUAUAGAGUUUGAUCAACAAUAUGUCAUCCAUAUAUAGUUAUCAAAAUGUUGUAGUGCUCCCACUCACUUUAUUGCAAAUACAAAGUUCUUGCAAACUUUGUAUAAACCCAAAUGCUUUGAUCACCUCAUCAAAGCGUAUGUUCCAACUCCGAGAUGCUUGCUCCAGUCCA